rnacentral:tRNA from 1 species
GGAGGGGUGGUCGAGUGGCCGAAGACGACGGCUUGCUAAGCCGUUGCUGAGGUGAGACUCAGCCGUGGGUUCGAAUCCCACCCCCUCCGCCA